rnacentral:miRNA from 1 species
AGGACUGCGCGGGGGGGGGGGGGAGGAGGAGGAGGACGGAGGAUGAGGGGGAGGGAUUUAUUUCUAAUUACAGUAGCGCCCUCUCCCUCCAUCCCUCCCCCGCCUCCUCCUCUGCCCCCCCCCCCCGCAUUUCG